UGGGCAUGAUGAUGAUUUGUUUACUGUGUUAUUUUUAUAUGCUGAAACAAUUACCUCCUACUCAUUCAGA